rnacentral:ncRNA from 1 species
UCCUGACAAAGGUGCAUUUGCACUUUUGACAUUUGCCACGACAGGAGAUUGACAUG